UGCAGUCGGACGGGAUUGAGGAGCUUGCUUCUCAUGAGAGUGGCGCACGGGUGCGUAACACGUAUGUAACCUACCUUGUUCAGGGGGAUAGCCUCUCGAAAGAGAGAUUAACACCGCAUAAAAUCAAUUUAUGGCAUCAUAGAAUGAUCAAAUAUUUAUAGGAACAAGAUGGGCAUGCGGAACAUUAGCUAGUUGGUAAGGUAACGGCUUACCAAGGCUACGAUGUUUAGGGGAUCUGAGAGGAUGACCCCCCACACUGGUACUGAGACACGGACCAGACUCCUACGGGAGGCAGCAGUAAGGAAUAUUGGUCAAUGGACGCAAGUCUGAACCAGCCAUGCCGCGUGCAGGAAGACGGCCCUACGGGUUGUAAACUGCUUUUGUACCGGAAUAAACCUUUUCACGUGUGAGAAGCUGAAUGUACGGUAAGAAUAAGGAUCGGCUAACUCCGUGCCAGCAGCCGCGGUAAUACGGAGGAUCCAAGCGUUAUCCGGAUUUAUUGGGUUUAAAGGGUGCGUAGGUGGCCUAUUAAGUCAGGGGUGAAAGACGGUAGCUUAACUAUCGCAGUGCCUUUGAUACUGAUGGGCUUGAAUACACUUGAGGUAGGCGGAAUGUGACAAGUAGCGGUGAAAUGCAUAGAUAUGUCACAGAACACCAAUUGCGAAGGCAGCUUACUAAAGUGUUAUUGACACUGAGGCACGAAAGCGUGGGGAUCAAACAGGAUUAGAUACCCUGGUAGUCCACGCCCUAAACGAUGAAUACUCGAUGUUGGCGAUAUACGGUCAGCGUCUAAGCGAAAGCGUUAAGUAUUCCACCUGGGGAGUACGCCCGCAAGGGUGAAACUCAAAGGAAUUGACGGGGGCCCGCACAAGCGGAGGAGCAUGUGGUUUAA
rnacentral:rRNA from 1 species